GGAGAGGUGGCAGAGUGGUCGAAUGCGGCUCACUGCUAACGAGUUAGCUCCGAUAAGGGGCUCCCGGGUUCGAAUCCCGGCCUCUCCGCCA
rnacentral:tRNA from 1 species